CCUACGGGUGGCAGCAGUGAGGAAUAUUGGUCAAUGGACGAGAGUCUGAACCAGCCAAGUAGCGUGAAGGAUGACUGCCCUAUGGGUUGUAAACUUCUUUUAUAUGGGAAUAAAAUGUUUCACGUGUGGGCUUUUGUAUGUACCCUAUGAAUAAGGGUCGACUAACACCGUGCCAGCAGCCGCGGUCAUACGGAGGGUCCGAGGCUUAUCCGGAUUUAUUGGGUUUAAAGGGUGCGUAGAUGGGUUGUUAAGUCAGUUGGGAAAGUUUGCGGCUCAACCGUAAAAUUGCAAUUGAUACUGUCAGGCUUGAGUACAGUAGAGGUAGGCGGAAUUCGUGGUGUAGCGGUGAAAUGCUUAGAUAUCACGAAGAACUCCGAUUGCGAAGGCAGCCUGCCAGGCCAUGACUGACGCUGAUGCACGAAAGCGUGGGGAUCAAACAGGAUUAGAUACCCGAGUAGUC
rnacentral:rRNA from 1 species